GAUCCUGGCUCAGGAUGAACGCUGGCGGCGUGCUUAACACAUGCAAGUCGAACGGGAAACCUUUUAUUGAAGCUUUGGCAGAUUUAGCUGGUUUCUAGUGGCGGACGGGUGAGUAACGCGUGGGUAACCUGCCCUAUACAGGGGGAUAACAACCAGAAAUGGUUGCUAAUACCGCAUAAGCGCACAGGACCGCAUGGUCCAGUGUGAAAAACUCCGGUGGUAUAGGAUGGACCCGCGUUGGAUUAGCUGGUUGGUGGGGUAACGGCCCACCAAGGCGACGAUCCAUAGCCGGCCUGAGAGGGUGAACGGCCACAUUGGGACUGAGACACGGCCCAGACUCCUACGGGAGGCAGCAGUGGGGAAUAUUGCACAAUGGGGGAAACCCUGAUGCAGCGACGCCGCGUGAAGGAAGAAGUAUCUCGGUAUGUAAACUUCUAUCAGCAGGG
rnacentral:rRNA from 1 species